rnacentral:rRNA from 1 species
CGAAUGCUGACAUAAGUAACGAUAAAGCGGGUGAAAAGCCCGCUCGCCGGAAGACCAAGGGUUCCUGUCCAACGUUAAUCGGGGCAGGGUGAGUCGACCCCUAAGGCGAGGCCGAAAGGCGUAGUCGAUGGGAAACAGGUUAAUAUUCCUGUACUUGGUGUUACUGCGAAGGGGGGACGGAGAAGGCUAUGUUGGCCGGGCGACGGUUGUCCCGGUUUAAGCGUGUAGGCUGGUUUUCCAGGCAAAUCCGGAAAAUCAAGGCUGAGGCGUGAUGACGAGGCACUACGGUGCUGAAGCAACAAAUGCCCUGCUUCCAGGAAAAGCCUCUAAGCAUCAGGUAACAUCAAAUCGUACCCCAAACCGACACAGGUGGUCAGGUAGAGAAUACCAAGGCGCUUGAGAGAACUCGGGUGAAGGAACUAGGCAAAAUGGUGCCGUAACUUCGGGAGAAGGCACGCUGAUAUGUAGGUGAAGCGACUUGCUCGUGGAGCUGAAAUCAGUCGAAGAUACCAGCUGGCUGCAACUGUUUAUUAAAAACACAGCACUGUGCAAACACGAAAGUGGACGUAUACGGUGUGACGCCUGCCCGGUGCCGGAAGGUUAAUUGAUGGGGUCAGCGCAAGCGAAGCUCUUGAUCGAAGCCCCGGUAAACGGCGGCCGUAACUAUAACGGUCCUAAGGUAGCGAAAUUCCUUGUCGGGUAAGUUCCGACCUGCACGAAUGGCGUAAUGAUGGCCAGGCUGUCUCCACCCGAGACUCAGUGAAAUUGAACUCGCUGUGAAGAUGCAGUGUACCCGCGGCAAGACGGAAAGACCCCGUGAACCUUUACUAUAGCUUGACACUGAACAUUGAGCCUUGAUGUGUAGGAUAGGUGGGAGGCUUUGAAGUGUGGACGCCAGUCUGCAUGGAGCCGACCUUGAAAUACCACCCUUUAAUGUUUGAUGUUCUAACGUUGACCCGUAAUCCGGGUUGCGGACAGUGUCUGGUGGGUAGUUUGACUGGGGCGGUCUCCUCCUAAAGAGUAACGGAGGAGCACGAAGGUUGGCUAAUCCUGGUCGGACAUCAGGAGGUUAGUGCAAUGGCAUAAGCCAGCUUGACUGCGAGCGUGACGGCGCGAGCAGGUGCGAAAGCAGGUCAUAGUGAUCCGGUGGUUCUGAAUGGAAGGGCCAUCGCUCAACGGAUAAAAGGUACUCCGGGGAUAACAGGCUGAUACCGCCCAAGAGUUCAUAUCGACGGCGGUGUUUGGCACCUCGAUGUCGGCUCAUCACAUCCUGGGGCUGAAGUAGGUCCCAAGGGUAUGGCUGUUCGCCAUUUAAAGUGGUACGCGAGCUGGGUUUAGAACGUCGUGAGACAGUUCGGUCCCUAUCUGCCGUGGGCGCUGGAGAACUGAGGGGGGCUGCUCCUAGUACGAGAGGACCGGAGUGGACGCAUCACUGGUGUUCGGGUUGUCAUGCCAAUGGCACUGCCCGGUAGCUAAAUGCGGAAGAGAUAAGUGCUGAAAGCAUCUAAGCACGAAACUUGCCCCGAGAUGAGUUCUCCCUGACUCCUUGAGAGUCCUGAAGGAACGUUGAAGACGACGACGUUGAUAGGCCGGGUGUGUAAGCGCAGCGAUGCGUUGAGCUAACCGGUACUAAUGAACCGUGAGGCUUAACCUU